rnacentral:rRNA from 1 species
CUGGUUGAUCCUGCCAGUAGUCAUACGCUUGUCUCAAAGAUUAAGCCAUGCAUGUCUAAGUAUAAAUCUUUAUACGGUGAAACUGCGAAUGGCUCAUUAUAUCAGUUAUAGUUUAUUUGAUAGUCCCCUACUACUUGGAUAACCGUAGUAAUUCUAGAGCUAAUACAUGCGUCAAGGCCCAACUGCUUCGGCGGGCGGGCUGUAUUUAUUAGAGUUGAACCAGCCGCCUUCGGGUGUUUUUUGGUGAAUCAUGAUAACUUUGCGAAUCGUAUGCUUCGGCGACGAUGAAUCAUUCAAGUUUCUGCCCUAUCAAGUGGCGAUGGUAGGGUAUUGGCCUACCAUGCUAGUGACGGGUGACGGAGAAUUAGGGUUCGAUUCCGGAGAGGGAGCCUGAGAGACGGCUACCACAUCUAAGGAAGGCAGCAGGCGCGUAAAUUACCCAAUCCUGACACGGGGAGGUAGUGACAAUAAAUAACAAUACGGGGCUUUUCAAGUCUUGUAAUUGGAAUGAGAACAAUUUAAAUCCCUUAUCGAGGAACAAUUGGAGGGCAAGUCUGG